UAAGCAUGUUAGGAAUAGGAGGAGGACCUCGUCCUAACACGAGCAAAGUCGAUGGCCCGGUUAUUUAAAGAUCAGAUGGGGGGAGAGGCCCUUACAACGGCCCUUAUGUACCCCCACAGCCAUGUUAGGAACAGGAGGAGAACCUCGUCCUAACAUGAGCAAAGUCGAAGGCCUGGUUAUUUAAAGACCGGAUGGGGGGAGAGGCCCUUAUGUGCCCCCACAGUCAUGUUAAGAAUAGGAGGAGAACCUCAUCCUAACAUGAGCAAAGUCGAAGGUCUGGUUACUUAAAGACUAGAUGGGGGAGAGG
rnacentral:lncRNA from 1 species